UACGUAGGGGGCAAGCGUUGUCCGGAAUCAUUGGGCGUAAAGCGCGUGUAGGCGGUCCGGUAAGUCCGCUGUGAAAGUCGGGGGCUCAACCCUCGGAUGCCGGUGGAUACCGUCGGGCUUGAGUACGGAAGAGGCGAGUGGAAUUCCUGGUGUAGCGGUGAAAUGCGCAGAUAUCAGGAGGAACACCAAUUGCGAAGGCAGCUCGCUGGGACGUUACUGACGCUGAGACGCGAAAGCGUGGGGAGCAUACAGG
rnacentral:rRNA from 1 species